GCCCCCGUAGCUCAAAGGAUAGAGCGACGGACUUCUAAUCCGCAGGUUGAGAGUUCGAGUCUCUCCGGGGGCG
rnacentral:tRNA from 1 species